AGUGAACGCUGGCGGUAGGCCUAACACAUGCAGGUCGAACGGCAGCACAGUAAGAGCUUGCUCUUACGGGUGGCGAGUGGCGGACGGGUGAGGAAUACAUCGGAAUCUACUUUUUCGUGGGGGAUAACGUAGGGAAACUUACGCUAAUACCGCAUACGACCUACGGGUGAAAGCAGGGGAUCUUCGGACCUUGCGCGAUUGAAUGAGCCGAUGUCGGAUUAGCUAGUUGGCGGGGUAAAGGCCCACCAAGGCGACGAUCCGUAGCUGGUCUGAGAGGAUGAUCAGCCACACUGGAACUGAGACACGGUCCAGACUCCUACGGGAGGCAGCAGUGGGGAAUAUUGGACAAUGGGCGCAAGCCUGAUCCAGCCAUACCGCGUGGGUGAAGAAGGCCUUCGGGCUGUAAAGCCCUUUUGUUGGGAAAGAAAAGCAGCAGGUUAAUACCCCGCUGUUCUGACGGUACCCAAAGAAUAAGCACCGGCUAACUUCGUG
rnacentral:rRNA from 1 species